CGGGUGAGUAUCGCGUGGGUAAUCUACCUUGAGUGGGGGAUAGCCUCGGGAAACCGAGGGUAAUACCGCAUGAGUCCUCAAUGACAUAAGUCGAUGAGGGGAAAGGCGGGGCUCCUUCGGGACCUGUCGCCUCUAGAUGGGCCCGCGUCCGAUUAGCUAGUUGGUGGGGUAAUGGCCUACCAAGGCAACGAUCGGUAGCCGGCCUGAGAGGGUGAACGGCCACAUUGGGACUGAGACACGGUCCAG
rnacentral:rRNA from 1 species